rnacentral:tRNA from 1 species
GGAAGCGCUUGGCUGGCUGGUGCCGCUCCCGGUCUUCAAAACCGGAGUGGGGCAGUUACGCUGUCCCGGGCAGGUUCGAUUCCUGUGCGCUUCCGCCA